AACGAACGCUGGCGGCAUGCCUAACACAUGCAAGUCGAACGAUGCUUUCGGGCAUAGUGGCGCACGGGUGCGUAACGCGUGGGAAUCUGCCUUGGGGUACGGAAUAACUCAGAGAAAUUUGAGCUAAUACCGUAUGACGUCUUCGGACCAAAGAUUUAUCGCCCUGAGAUGAGCCCGCGUAGGAUUAGCUAGUUGGUGGGGUAAAGGCCUACCAAGGCGACGAUCCUUAGCUGGUCUGAGAGGAUGAUCAGCCACACUGGGACUGAGACA
rnacentral:rRNA from 1 species